ensembl:snRNA U6 U6 spliceosomal RNA
GUCCCUUUGGCAGCACGUAUACUAAAAUGGGAAACAUACAGAGAUUAGCAUGGUCAUUGCACAAGGAUGACAUGGAAAUUCAUGAAGCAUUCCAUAUUUUU